CAGUAGCCGCGGUAAUACGUAGGUGGCAAGCGUUGUCCGGAAUUAUUGGGCGUAAAGCGCGCGCAGGUGGUUUAAUAAGUCUGAUGUGAAAGCCCACGGCUCAACCGUGGAGGGUCAUUGGAAACUGUUAAACUUGAGUGCAGGAGAGAAAAGUGGAGUUCCUAGUGUAGCGGUGAAAUGCGUAGAGAUUAGGAGGAACACCAGUGGCGAAGGCGGCUUUUUGGCCUGUAACCGACACUGAGGCGCGAAAGCGUGGGGAGCAAACAGGAUUAGAUACCCCAGUAGUCCCUGUCUCUUAUAC
rnacentral:rRNA from 1 species